UACGAAGGGGAGCUAGCGUUGUUCGGAUUUACUGGGCGUAAAGCGCACGUAGGCGGAUCGAUCAGUCAGGGGUGAAAUCCCAGAGCUCAACUCUGGAACUGCCUUUGAUACUGUCGAUCUGGAGUAUGGAAGAGGUGAGUGGAAUUCCGAGUGUAGAGGUGAAAUUCGUAGAUAUUCGGAGGAACACCAGUGGCGAAGGCGGCUCACUGGUCCAUUACUGACGCUGAGGUGCGAAAGCGUGGGGAGCAAACAGG
rnacentral:rRNA from 1 species